rnacentral:pre_miRNA from 1 species
AAAGAACGCAAUUUUACAUUCCCGUGUCUAACGUUUGAUCGUUCAACUUAUUUGAAAAAAAAUAUUGAUAUUUUUAUUAUUAUUUGAUGAUAAAAUGUGAAUAUUGUAUGACUAUUUUUUUUAUUUUUCAUAAAACUUUUAAAUAAAACGAACAGUUAAAGGUUGGAUACGAAAAUCUACAACUUAGU